rnacentral:rRNA from 1 species
UAGGUGACCUGCCCCCAAUGUGGGGGAUAACGGCUCGAAAGGGCUGCUAAUACCUCAUGUGAGUGAUGAUUCGAUUCGUCACUGAAAGUUUUCGCAAGGAUACGCGUUGGGAGGGGCCUGCGGCGGAUUAGGUUUGUUGGUGGGGUAAUGGCCUACCAAGCCGAUGAUCCGUAGCUAGUCUGAGAGGACGAUUAGCCACACUGGCACUGACACACGGGCCAG